rnacentral:tRNA from 1 species
GGUUCCGUAGUGUAAUGGUCAGCACUCUGGACUUUGAAUCCAGCGAUCCGAGUUCAAGUCUCGGCGGAACCU